UUUUCCAUAACCUUUCAAUUUGUCGGGCAUACCACGAUCUGAUCUCAAUUUUUGGUCAAAAUGGGUUUUUAUCAAAUUUUGAAAAUAUCCAUCAACAGAAUCAUUUUGAGAAAAUUUGGAAGAAAAUAAUUAGCUAAAUAUACUAAAUUUGCUAAUGAGUGCAAUGGUGCAUUGCAAAAGAAAUUAAUAAGUUAUUUCAUAAAACGACAUAUCAAUUCCUUGGAGUAAAUUUCGACACUUAAGAAACUACAAGAAAGGAUAUAUCCGCCUGUAGGGUUCUGUGUGGGCCCUGAUCUCACGCAAGGUCUGUGAGGUGUUUGUUCAUCCGUGAAGACGGGAAUUGAACUAUGGAUAUUCACGUUCUAAUAAGGUUUUAAAUGAUCUUUCUGGUUGGAGAAAAAGUUCAAGCUAAAAUGGAUGGGCGUUAAUAUCGGACAAUCAGCUUGAUUUUAACAUCAUAUUCAGACAAACUUGUGUUCUUUAUCUUAGAGCUCAAACGAAACAAAUAGGUAGAGGGCUUCUGAAGUUAUGAAUUUGCGAUGAGGCGAGGUGUGACAGAAAUCGGCCUGAAAAUUGUUUACGCCGCUGUAAGAAUGCAGAUAUAGAUUUUUUCUCUUUGAAACUUGACAAGGUUUUAAGUCAUUCAAAAUUGAUACUUGUAUACUAUAAGAAGAAGGACUAAUGAACAUCCAACUUGCCGAAAGAACAAAAUUGAAAACACUGAGUGUUCCAAAGUUAUGCUCUCAAAAAGAAAAAAAGUGCUGUUUUGGGAGGCCUUUUAUGGAUCUCUGCUUCCCACCGGAUGCUCGUCGCUAAGGUUGCGCUACGAAAUUCAUAUUUCACUGCGAUAGGUCGCUUCGUGAAAAAAAUAAUUUUGCAUGUCUUGGUUUCACGAAGUGUCACAACUGCGUGUGUCCCUCCCACUCUGUACAAUUUGUAUGGAAUGGCGCACCACAAAGUGACAUUAUGAGAAGUUGACCUCAUCUAUUACAAGGUCAUGUCUAGUAUGUUGACUCAACUGGAAAAUGCUCAUGUAAAACAAUGGAGUGAAAACAUUCAGCUUUUAGUCAGGUAAUCAAACUGCGUUCGCGGUUUACGUACGUACGAUGCACAUUAUACACUGCCAUUGACCAUGAGAUGAGCACGUAGCUGGGCAUUCUAUGGCAUCAUUCUGUGAGUAUUUCAACCAAUUUAGCGAAGCAAACGGCAAGGUUUUUCUAAACUGUAUUUACGUAAUGUACUUUUAACACAAGAAUUAUAAUCUAGCUUAGAAUAUGAGUAAAUCACUCCUGAUUCAGGCCUGAUCUGCACACAGGGUAGGGCCCUAGGCCUAGUAGUACUUGUAGGCCAAAGCUAGCAAUGAUGCCAAGUUUUUUGCAGGUGUAGCACAAUAUAAUUAAUUUCAAAUCAACGGUAUCCUUCAUUUCACAAUAGAGCAACUGUCCAGCUGAGUUCAUAUGUAGCCCCAAUGCAUCGGUUACUGUCCUUUUUGAGGAUUAGAUUACCCGAUUCCCCAAAUAUUGCCAGUCCAUUUAAGAUCAGUCAUUUAGCCUAGCUUUUUAUUGUCAAAUGUGGCCAGCAGGAAACAGUCAUUGACACACAGUGACAUGAUGUAUGUUAAGCGGGGCUGAAUAAAAAUAGAUUCUUACUGAAUCCUACAUAGGUGCAAACAUUUCAUUGUCAUUGCAAUUAUGGAUGACUCUAGGGCUCUAACAUCGCACAGUUAUGACCUAAUAAAUUAAAAGUAUUUUUAAAGUAUGAGCCAAGAUAGUUUUGUUGCUCUUACAACUGGCCAAAACGAUGGUAUCAUAUUCAUAAUGACCAGUGAGUUAAGGGUGCAUGGAUUUGGGUCUUGUACUACCUAAGAUGAUGGUCAGUUACCAUUGACAAUAAGUAUUGUCCAUAUCAGUGACAAAUUUUUAGUUUGGUUUAUUACACUGAACGUACCGGUAGUAGAAGGUAUUUAGUCAUUAAUGAUACUUGCUGAUGAGAUUUUUGUUUUUGUUUCGUUCUUACAGAUCAUGGAUGUGCUUGUGCAGUGGUGGUAGCAAAAAUGUUGUCAGUUCAACUGAUCUGAAAUACAGACCUCCACUUCACGUUAAUCAGACUGUGAAGAUGAAAUAGAGGAAGGUGGUAGAGUGUAAAAGUUAAUGACUUUGAAGAGACAACAGGUAACAUUGCUUAUCGGGGGGGGGGAAUUGUAUAGUUGCAUAGCAUUUUCAUGCAGUGGGGGAAGGGUGCAUCAGUUUUGUGAAGAGGAUAUGUUGGAAAGCUGAGCUUCUUGAUUUGCCAGUUUAUUAGUUGAAAUGCUAUUCCAAUAAAUAAAACAAUUUUUUUGAGCUGCCAAGUUCAUUAAAAAGCUUCUUCCAUGCCUUUUUAAGAGAACAGUGAAGAUAUAGUCAGCAACACUAGUACUGGAGAUCAACGAAGCAGCGAUGACAGAGAUCAGGGGAAGAAGAGGGCGACAGCUCUGAUAAGGAACCUCUAAGUAGACUGGUCUCAGGUGAAAAAACCUCAACAACAGCAUUCUUAAAAUCAAAGGUUCCGUCAGAUGCCAUUGGGCCAGCUCAACAAGGAGAAAGGGCUUAAACCUGCUCCAAUUUUAACUGCCAUGAAGAGACAUUUGCUGCAUGCGCGAGUUGCUCAUGUCUCUUGUGUUUUGCGCAUUUUAUAAGUUCAUCCUCCUGUGAUACACACAAUGAAUAUUUCUUUCUUUAUUCUGGAUCUAAUAAGGAAUUGAACAUACAGUACGCUGAAAAACAAACACAACCUGAGGCAAAUGUGUUUUCUGAUGACGUCCACGGUGAAAUGAAUACACCUGUGGAUUUUUCUGAUGGUGUACGAAAUGACCCACAAACCUCGCCAGGAUUUGGUUGUCAGGUCCCAGAAAGUUUUGAAGAAGAGGGGGGUCCAAAAAUUGAUGUGAGUGAGGUAACCGAAACUGCACAUAGUCAGGCAAAAAAUAAAACUGUGAAGCAAAAGAGAAAUGAUGGAGAGUGCUACUAUACAGAGAAAACACACAGGUUUAAGGAAGGAAGAAAGACAAAACUUAGGUCAAGGUGUAAUUCAUUGUUCUGCAACGUCAGAAAACUUGAGUGCGAUAAAUUUUCUGAAGAAGACCGUCAAUCCAUUGGGGGUGCUUUUUUUCUAGCAGUAAUUUGCAAGCACAGAAACAAUGAAUAGCACGCCAUAUUGAAACAACAUCCCCAACAAGUAGUACACGCAAGAAGAGGGUCUCACAUUUUUACCUCCCUAAAGGUAAAGAUAACUCACUUUGCCGUGUUUGCAAGAUCAUGUUUCUCAGUGCAAUUGGAAUUUCAGACCGUCAAGUUAGAACUGUUGUAAGUAAACUUGGUCCAUGUAACAUUCUCACAGCCGAGAGAAGAGGAGGAAACAGUCAAAAGGCAAAGAUCAACUUCUCAAAAAGGAAGUUGAACAUCACAUUAACAGAUUUCCUAAAAUGGAGUGUCAUUAUUGCCGCCAAGCCACAACAUUUCAGUAUCUGUCAAGCGACUUGAACAUAAACAGAAUGUAUGACCUGUGCCUGGCUGAGAACCCUAAGCAAAAGCUUCUCUGAGUUUCAAUGCUAAAACACUGCAUGGCAUGAAGCUUAAAUUUCAUAAAACCAAAAAAGAUCCACGUGGGAUAUGUGAAACCUACCACAAGGGUAAUGAUACCGAAAAAGGUAAGCUCCAUAAAGAAUACAUCAGGCACACUCAAGAAAAAAUUGCUGUGAGAGAAAUAAAGAGUCAGAAAAAAAGAACAGGCUCUCUUGGAUCCACGAAAGUUCCAAGCAUCUCUUUACGAUCUGCAACAAGUGAUCUACCUUCCUUGGUCUGGAAGAGGAUCACUGUUUUAUAAACAGAGGCUUGCCUGCUAUAAUUUCACAGUUUAUGAAUUGGACAGUAGAUCAGGAUUUUGCUUCCUUCAUCAUGAAGGAAUAGCAAAAUGUGGUGCGAAUAAAAUAGCAUCUAAUUUGUACAAAUACCUCUCAACACUUGACAGUAAAGGAACAGAAGAAGUUGCCCUUUUCAGCGAUGGGUGUAUAGGACAGAAUAAAAUUUCAUCUUGCCAGCCAUGCUUCUGUACAUGUACUUGGUGCAGAAUAAUUUGUCACUGAUCAAAAUAACACUACUAUUGCGAGACCAAUCAUGGUCAAAGUGAGGAAGAUUCAAUCUAUAGUACUGUCGAGCGAACCCUGAAGGGGGCUGCAGACCUGUUCCCUGUCAGCUUGCAACAUUGAUUCAAGGUGCUAGAAAGACCCCUGACAAAUAUCACAUCACAGAAGUACAAACGCAGGACAUUCGAGAUUGGAAGGCACUCAGUCAAACCAUGCAUAUUUUGCACAUGUACACCACUUUAGUGGGUAAGAAUGUAGAUUGGACGAAAGUGAUGCAGGUUGAAGUGAGGAAAAUCUACCCCAAAAGAUCAUGGUCAAAUUUUCCCUCUUGGAGGACAAGUUCGACACAGUUAAUUUGGAAGAGAGAAAUUGGCACACACUUCCAAAACACUUGCAAUACCCACCCAGGCUGUGCCAAAGGAAGCUCGCCAAAAAUACCUGAGGCAAAAUACAGUGACCUGAUGAGUCUUUGUGAGGGCUCAACACGGGUAAUUUUCCAUUCAGAUCAUAUUGCCUUCCACCGACACCUUCCACAUUAAACCACAGCGUGUUUCCUGCAACCAAAUUCUGCCAACAGAUCUCUGUUAAGUGGAAAUGCGGUAGUCUUGCUUGUAUUAAGUAUCAGACAUUUCUGUAAUUGCAUUAAUUAAAAGUUAGUGUGUAGACCGCUGUUCAUGAAGCUGUGUAUAUCUUUGAUUUUUGAACUUUUAUUUUCAAGAUUCAGUUCAAGAAUCACAGGGGCGAUGGUUGAAUGUCUUCGAAUAAAGUCAUAUAUACCGGAAGUUCUUAGGAAUUUCAAAACUUACUUAUUAGUGUUGUUUUAAAUCACUGAUGAAGGGUUUACGAUUACUAGUGGUGCAAGUAUUUUGUCACUUGAGUUUAGAUCAAUACUUCACAUAACAACUCAAAGAUGUAACCUACAUAGGCCGAAAUUACAUAACUUUCAUUUAACGUAUCAAAUUUUCAAUGCUAAUUUCAAGAUGUUGAAUGUCAUUGAUUUAUUAUUAAUGACGCUUCAAUAAAUAUUGGGACAAAACUGGCGAACAGAUUAAAGGUUUCAUUUUUAUGAAUUCAAAUAAAUCUAACGUCUCUGCUUAAACGAACAUAAACAUUAUGUUCUCAAUUUAAUUGUAAACUGCAUGAACUAUAUUUUCAUAAAAUUUACUCAGGGAAAUACAUUGAACGAAUUGAAAUCGUACACACAUUUAGGUCAUCUUACGAGAUAAUUGUUUUAUUAAUAAAUCAAAAUUUCUGUUUUUGUAUUGCCAAAUGAAGAUUUAAAUGAAUAGAAAACAAUUUUUAUGGGGCCAGGUGAAAAUGUUCUUUUGAAUUUGUGCAUUUGACCACUGUUAUAUGAAAAACGUUGAAUUUUUACAUAAUAAUCGUGUGUAUUGAAAAUGAACUUGGAAAAUUUUUAAGGCGGGUGUUGAUGAUGGAAGGCGAUGAACUUGAUUGCGUUUUUAAUGAUAUUGAUAAUUCUUGUUUUUGAUUAAAAACAAAUUUUCCUGGAAAUGAA